CAUCCGGCCAAAUGGGGGCUCACCAGCUGCCCGUGGACGGAGUGGGAGGAGGCCCCCAGUCUCCAGGAGGCUCCAUGCCUCAGGCUCAGACCGGCAGCUCGGGAACCCAGCUAGCAGGAUGAACUCCAGCAGAGGAACUCAGCGCCAUUGCUGCGGCUGUGGGCCAGAAGAGAAAGAGAAAGAGAAAGAGAAUCCGCCUCGGUGUGACAAGCUGUGCCUCAGAACCCGAGCAGCAGGAGAGUGGGCAGCAGGGGGUGUCUGGCAGCAGAGAGGGGCUCAGGCCUGCUGGGUGGAGCGGCGCUGGGGGACACAGGUGGGCCCUGCGGGAGGCAGGAGCUGUCCAGGCAAAGCCGAGGGGAAGGGCCGGUAUGAAGGAGGCGCCCGAUGGGAGGGGCGAGUUCUCCCCCUGCACCAUUCCAGUCCACUCCGGGUUUCCUGUAGAAGGGGGAGCCCCCCAAAGUCCAUCUGUGUUUCCCCACCUCACUCACACACUCAGGGACCCUCGGCUGCUCCCCGGGGCGCUGACUGACAUUUUUGCCGAAUAAAGGGGCCCUGUGGGUUUCCUGUUCCCAUCUCAGCUUCUGCUGAACAGGGUAAACUUCCCUUCCGAAUAAAACCACCAGAAUGCGGUCUGGCCAAUUUCAGUCAUAGACCCACCAGGCCUGUGUCCCUGCGUGAGGGGGUGGGAAAAGCCCAGAGUGCCCCUACCCGUCCCCUGGGAGGGGUGGAAGGGCAGCUCUUGCUCCCCCUGCAGAGACGCUGCGCGGACUGGGAAGGCUGCCAGCCUCGCCCGGUCUCCCUGUGGACCCUGCCCUGACCCCACCCCAGCUUCCUGGCUCCCUGCACCCCACUGGGCUUCCCUGCCCCACAGAGCCUGGUGGUAGGGAGACCUCCGGAUGGAGACAGCCCACAGUCCCGGAGCCCCAAGGCAGGCACCAGUGAGUCCCUCGUGACGGCCUCGCUCCCUGCAUCACAUGGAACCUCGUGACCCACGUGACGACGCCAGUGCCCCCGUGGCCCCUUCCUGCUGCUGGACGUGAUGCAGUCAAUGGAAGCCCAGAUACGUCCUCCAGAGUCGUCUCAUCCACCCCACCCUGGGGAGGAGGGAAACUGAGGCAUGGCAAGAGACAAGACUAACACAGGCAUCACGUGGGCUCUCCCGGCACCAGCACCGCCAGGCCCUGUGCAGGACCCCAGGGUCAUCAGGAAGGAAAUGAGGCAGCCCAAGGAGGCGGGAGACGGGGCCCUACCCAGCACCCAGCCAUCUGCAUUGACACGGCUGCCCGCAGGAUAUCACUGCCCCCAUCCCGGGGCCCACCAUUACCAGCAGGGAGAGGGAGGCAGGAGGUCCCACUGUGGCGUUUCAUCGAUAAACGCACAUGCGAGGUGGAGGGUGGCUGGUGUGGAAUGUGCCCGGCAGCCUUCAUAGCAAAGGAGAAUUCUAGAACCAACCGAAGUGCCCCUCUGAAGGGAGCUGGUCCCGUCCGUUCCAGCCGCCGUGGAGUAACACAGCCAGCAGUUUCCCUCCUGCCACGAAAGCUCGAGACUGAAACUCAGGAUGAACUGUUUUCAGCCCGGGUCACCCCAGCCCUGGGGUGGAGGCCCAUUGAGGAUGGCCGAGCAGGGGCGGGCAUCCAGGCAGGUCCAGCAGUCCUGGCGGGCUGAGGAGAAGGAGGUCAGUGCUCAGGGAGACAUCCGCAGAGGGACCUGGCAGGCAGAGCUCCAGAAGGGAGGGAACUGCACAGACAGAAAGCUCCAGAAGGCUGCCUGAGGGCCUCUGAGGCCUCCGGAGUCAGGCGCCAUGGAUGUGGAAGGUGGACUCUUCAGCAUGGAUGGGACCCUAGGGGGCUGUGGACCCCCGGCCCCUGGGACUCACAGGUGGGAGACAGGAGUUCCAACCGCCAGGGGGAGAGUCCUGGAGGAUCCUGGGCUGUUGGCAGCCACCCAGCAGGGCCCGUCCUGGGAGUGGGGCUGGACUCUUCCUGCAGGAAAGGCUGGGCUGGACCUGCUCUGAGAGGCUUCAGAACCAGCCACACGAAGACCAAAGUGAAGAGCAAGGAGCUGAACUCCACGCAGAACACAGCGCAGCGUCCUUUAAAGGAAGGCCAAAAACAACCCAACAAAAAUGCCAGGUGAUCAAAGCGGUCACAGCACAAUGUCCACAUCCAACGAGAAAUUGCUACUACGUCCAGACGCAGGGAAAGGUGGCCGUGGGAACGUGAGUCAGCAGCAACAGGCCCAGAAGGGCAGCCACGGUGGACUUGUCAGACGUGGACCCUGAAAUGACAAUCACAGCAUGAUUUCAGGCAGGAGCCUGAAAUGGUACAGCUUUGGACAUCGGUUUGGCAAAUUCUUUUAGAGAGAAACACACACCUUCCCUAGGACCCAGCAACUCCACUCCUAAUAACCAAGUGAAAUGGAAGGAGUUGUCCUCAGCAAAACGUGUGUGCGGAAGUUCACAGUCACUUUCUCGGUGAUAACCAAGAGCUGGAAACCACUGCAACACCCACCAGCAGGUGAACGGAUUAACACACUGGGCUAGGGCCACACAAUGAGAUGCUCCGUGGCAACACAAAAUGAACCGUGGACACACACUGCACGGCGGAUGAAUAUGCAGACAUCAGGCCACGUGAAGGGAGCCAGGCCCCGAGGCGCCACGCUUUGUGAUUCAGGAAAGAAAGCACGCAGCCAAAGAGCGCAAAGAGGCUCAGAGGAGGCCCGGGUGCCCUGGAGAGACGCUGCGUCCUGACGACACAGCAUCCCUGUCCCGCAGCGGAGAUUUCCCAGAUGAAGGAUUCCCCGGCGGGAGACAGGGCCCUGCACACAGGUCCUCUGCCACGCUGCUCACCAUGCCUGUGUGUUAUCUCCCCAUGAAAAGUCACCUAGGCCGAGCAUGGUGGCUCACGCCUGUAAUCCCAGCACUUUGGGAGGUGGAGGCGUGCGGAUCAUCUGAGAUCAGGAGUUUGAGACCAUCCUGAGUAACAUGGUGAAACCCCGUCUCUAGGAAGAAUACAAAAAUUAACUGGG
rnacentral:lncRNA from 1 species